rnacentral:piRNA from 1 species
AGGACUGCUCAGCUUUGAUUGUU